CAGUGUUGUACAUUGUGUGUGUAUCACUGAUGUUCGUGCACAAGGGCGUGUGUGUGCCUCCAAAUUUGCUUUAGUGUGUGGUGUGCUUGAGCCAAGGCGGCGGCAGGGAGGCGGCAAGCAAAGCAAGGACAGAAGCUGAGGAGGGAGUCUCACCUUACUCAAGGGUUUCCUUAAGGGGAAGGGGAAAAGUGCCAGUUGGCUUCACUUGAGCAGAAGUAGGACUCUGAGCUGAGCUAGCUUCUCCCACCUCUACUCCCCAGACCCAGUUCAGCGACACCCAAGCACUGGGGAGGAUCAAAUUCAUACAGGGCCAUGGCAGCAGCUCCUUGUCUCUGCUGGCCAGAACCAGCCUCCACCCUACAUGUGAACAGGCUUAAACUGUGCAGACACACAGUCACCUCCAUGCCUCUGGCCUCUUCUCCUUCCUUUACUGCAAGGAGCCAGCCCCCUCCUGGAUCGUGAGCACGGAGAGAAAAAGGGCAUCAGCAAAUACAAGCCGAGCUGGGGGAGGAGAUGGGAGCGACCUAUGGCCCUUGCGGCCUGCUGCAUUUCAAAGGUCAUGAAUUUGUAUUAGAAGCAGGAAGAGGAGAUCAACAACAACACUUAUUAGAAAAGAAAAUUUGAUAUUAAAUUUAUUAUUCUAAAACUA